CGAAAGCCUGACGGAGCAAGACCGCGUGGGGGAGGAAGGCUCUAGGGUUGUAAACCCCUUUUCUUUGGGAAGAACAAAAUGACGGUACCAAAGGAAUCAGCCUCGGCUAACUCCGUGCCAGCAGCCGCGGUAAGACGGAGGAUGCAAGCGUUAUCCGGAAUUAUUGGGCGUAAAGCGUCCGUAGGCGGUCAUUUAAGUCAGUUGUUAAAGACUGCAGCUCAACUGUGGGAGAGCAACUGAAACUGAGAGACUAGAGUACGGUAGGGGUAGAGGGAAUUCCCAGUGUAGCGGUGAAAUGCGUAGAUAUUGGGAAGAACACCAGUGGCGAAGGCGCUCUACUGGGCCGAGACUGACGCUGAUGGACGAAAGCUAGGGGAGCG
rnacentral:rRNA from 1 species